AACGAAGCACUUUAUUUGAUUUCCUUCGGGACUGAUUAUUUUGUGACUGAGUGGCGGACGGGUGAGUAACGCGUGGGUAACCUGCCUUGUACAGGGGGAUAACAGUUGGAAACGACUGCUAAUACCGCAUAAGCCCACGGUACCGCAUGGUACUGAGGGAAAAGGAUUUAUUCGCUUUAGGAUGGACUCGCGUCCAAUUAGCUAGUUGGUGAGGUAACGGCCCACCAAGCCGACGAUCGGUAGCCGACCUGAGAGGGUGAACGGCCACAUUGGGACUGAGACACGGCCCAAACUCC
rnacentral:rRNA from 1 species